rnacentral:rRNA from 1 species
UGGGGAAUAUUGCACAAUGGGCGCAAGCCUGAUGCAGCGACGCCGCGUGCGGGAUGGAGGCCUUCGGGUUGUAAACCGUCUUUUGUUCAAGGGCAAGGCACGGUCUUUGGCCGUGUUGAGUGGAUUGUUCGAAUAAGCACCGGCUAACUACGUGCC